UGGUGGUUGGGGGGGGGUCUGCUGCUAGGCUUCAGUGUGAAAGUGCCGUGCUCUGCUUUCUUCAGGUGUUUGUAUCCCAGCCUGAUGGCUGUUAAAUGCCCGAAUUGUUAAGUGGUUAAGCAUGUGGGUAGCACCUCUUCCACUCACCAGGCUUCCUGACCUGCUUAAUAUUGAAGUAAUGAGGAAUCUCUGAAGGAGGUGGAAUGCUCUGUCAGUGCUGGAAGAUCAGCAUUAUUUGUGAGGCUACGCAACACCCCUCCCAGAACCUGGGUGUUCUCUCCAGCCCUUGGAAAUAAUACUCCUGAGAGGUGCUGCCAUCACAACUUACACUCUGAGAGUCAUAGAAUCAUUUAGAUUGGCUGUGGGAAGCCAGACCCGUGGAGGAAGAUCUUUGUGUUGAGAUAUGUUAGCUCAGUGCAGGAGAGAUGAACUUCAAGCACUUUCAUGGCAAAAGAUUUUCUUUUCCUCUUACCAUUUUUAAUGUCAUCCCUAUCAAAUAUUGGGCAGAUAGAUUUUAUGUCCACAGGCUCCUUUGCACUUGGAUGUUUUAAUAAUGGCUUUGACUUCUGUGUCUAGAAUGGCUUCCUUGAAUGUAUUCCUCCUUUUUAAAUAAUGAUCCCUAUGACAAAUUAGUCCGCUCAGGAAAUAAUGACUGGACAAAGAGCCAGCUAAAAAUAAAGCGAACAUAGAAAUAUAUAUAUAUGGAUAGACAUAUAGAUAACUUAGAAAUUUGACAGUAUCUUUUGCUUCUUUAUGUUCCUUUUGUGUGAUGUUUGUAGCAGUAUUGUACAAGGUUGCUGUUUCUGUUAAGAUCUAGCUAUUUCUUCAUAAGUGAAAUGUUCAUCUGAAUAAAAUCACAGCAGUGAGACUCUGUAAAGCUACCUUUAUCAAUAGAGAUUUUAUUAAUGGGAAGAAGUUCACUGCCUUAAGAGCUUUCUAUGCAGUUGUUUUGAGCUGAUGUGUAUAAGUAGGCAGGGACUUGUCAUGCAGUUGUCUUUUGUGGGAAAGUUUUAUUCUAUAAAAAUUAAAACUUUGGGAAAGUUCCUAUUUUGGAAGAAUGUUUUGGUUCUGUAAGAGAGCUGGCAUCAGACAGCACUCUCCAGAUCUCCACAGUGAAUAGGUAAGAGGCAUUUCCAGGAGAAGGCAGUGAAUGUCAUUGUGCUUGUUCAAAAUAAGUUUUCAGAGAAGUUGUCAUAUGCAUUGUAGUUCUCACUGCAUUUGGCUUGCACAUGGAAAUUUGGUCAUUGCUGGUCAUAAAACUUGAGCAGUGAUGAAGUUCACUUUCAGACAGUGCAGUUCUCUGAGUUUGAACAUCGAUAAAGCAGAGGAACUUGGAGAUCAAGCAGAGAGAGUAAAGUAAAACUGCAACUUGUCAGCAUAAUUAUGGAAACAAAUCAUAUUUAUAGUAUAUGUAGAGCUAGAAGUGCCAGACCUUGAUUAAUAAUCAAUUGUAAUUACUAUUUAGAAUUAAUUGCAUUCCUGAACUGCUGACUUGAAAAAUGAUUCGGAAGCAUUUUCCCACACCUUCUUUGAGGUACUACUAACUUGAUGUUGAGAAUUUAAUAACUUGAAUAUCAUAUCACUGUCCUUGUAUUAUCAUUACGUCCCUUUUGAAUGUGUUUCAUGAAGAAUUAAAAAUAUGCAAACACAACAAUAGCUGUAAUUCUUGUUACUUGAGCUUGCAUUGUGGUUGACUUUGCUGUGUCCUUGCUGUGUUGCCUUUAAUAGAUCUGUAUGUAACAUAUUUGUUGCCAACACUAGGUGUCACACUAAGUAUGUUUCUGCUUCUGGCAUGAAACAAAACCCUUUGCCAGUAAAUGAGACUGUAAAGCUCUUCCCAGAACGUCCUCCCAGUCCGGACUCAAAGUCAGCAGGAGUUUUCCCAUUGAUUUAUGUGCAGUUGCAUUUGUGCCCUUGAUGCUCACCUUGUUUCACUCUCUGUAGAACUGCAGCAAAUGGACACAAAUUGCCAGUUCAGCAGCCCUGUGGAUUUGGUGGCCCCAUUCAGUGUAC